UGGGGAAUUUUGGACAAUGGGCGAAAGCCUGAUCCAGCAAUGCCGCGUGUGUGAAGAAGGCCUUCGGGUUGUAAAGCACUUUUGUCCGGAAAGAAAUCCUUGGCUCUAAUACAGUCGGGGGAUGACGGUACCGGAAGAAUAAGCACCGGCUAACUACGUGCCAGCAGCCGCGGUAAUACGUAGGGUGCAAGCGUUAAUCGGAAUUACUGGGCGUAAAGCGUGCGCAGGCGGUUUGCUAAGACCGAUGUGAAAUCCCCGGGCUCAACCUGGGAACUGCAUUGGGUGACUGGCAGGCUAGAGUAUGGCAGAGGGGGGUAGAAUUCCACUGUAGCAGUGAAAUGCGUAGAGAUGUGGAGGAAUACCGAUGGCGAAGGCAGCCCCCUGGGGCCAAUACUGACGCUCAUGCACGAAAAGCGUGGGGAGCAAACAGGAUUAGGAUACCCUGGGUAGUCCACGCCCUAAACGAUGUCAACUAGUUGUUGGGGAUUCAUUUCCUUAGUAACGUAGCUAACGCGUGAAGUUGACCGCC
rnacentral:rRNA from 1 species